rnacentral:rRNA from 1 species
AAAGCGUGCGCAGGCGGUUCGGAAAGAGAGGUGUGAAAUCCCAGGGCUCAACCUUGGAACUGCACUUUUAACUACCGAGCUAGAGUAUGUCAGAGGGGGGUGGAAUUCCGCGUGUAGCAGUGAAAUGCGUAGAUAUGCGGAGGAACACCGAUGGCGAAGGCAGCCCCCUGGGAUAAUACUGACGCUCAUGCACGAAAGCGUGGGGAGCAAACAGGAUUAGAUACCCUGGU